UUAGGUGUGCCCUCUAAAAUGAGGGAGCGACUGAAAGCCUAUUGCAGGAACACGUAUUCCCAGGCCUGCUGAUGGACUGUCCCACCAUGAGCAAGGACAAGCAGGGAAGGUGCGCGGUGUCGUCAGUUUCUUUCUUUGCUUGGUCCCGAUUCCUACAGCCACACUCCAGAAGACCCAGCUGACCAAUUCCCUCGAGUCUGGCGAGCACUAAAAUCGCCCGGCACAGCACCUUGUUCUGCUUAAAGAGGGAAAAAUGUUCUUUAAAAAAAAGAAACGAAAUCGAAGGACUUUAACCACCUCGUGGUAUGCUAAGAAUCUUUUUCCUACCCUGAUCGGGGGGGAGAAAAACCCUAAUCUAAAUUUCAGCGGCGCACGUUGAUUAGCCAGAAUUCCGCCCCAAGGUCUGGAGGCAACAGACGAGAAUCCCUUGGCUGUAGGAUGCAAAAGUUGAGCAUCACUUGACUUGCUGCAAAUGGGGUGCGGGCAGGAAUUUAGCACAAGGAAACUGCUCCAUCUGAAGACAGACUUCUUUAGGGUUUCUUUUUUUGGGGGGGGGGGGAAGCACUUCUCUUGCUAUGGAAUGAUCUGGCUCCAUCUCCGACCUUGGCGUGGCAUUAGGAGCCCACAAAAUGGCUUCUCCUCCCCCCUGGAACUGUGGGACAUUUUAACUCAGCUCCCAUUUGCACAGAGCCAGUCACCUGGAGACACUUGGGCGGACCGGUCAGAUAGCGUCAGAGACACAAAACGGAGGAGAGGGGAGAAUGCCCGAGCAGAGACCAGGGGUUACACUGAAAUAUGCGUCAGAUCGCCCGUCCUAUUCCCACACCUUGCUCUCGCUUGUGGUGCGCGGGGAGAAAGUCGCUCCUCUGCAUCUUAGGGCUUGCACGUGGCUGAAAAGUGCUUUGGGGUGUGUGAGUGUGAGAAUCAGAAUCAACCCAGCGCUGGGGUUAUGCAGCCGGCCAACAACCGUGGCAAAGCAAAAACAAACAUUUGCGCGCACACACCCACAAUUGAUGGGAUUUCCUCAGCGAGGUUGCAAAAGGUCACUUCGGAGGACAUCUCCGCAGUGAGAUGCAACAGGCUACGGGGUGAUGGUACAGGGUUAGCGGCUGGCACAGGGGAACCAGAAUGAAUCCCCCCGCUUCAUAAAGUCCACACACACACCCUCCUGGCCUCUUUUCGCCUGCUUCGAAAGGGGCAACAAUCUGGCCAAGCGAACCUGCUCUGGAAGGGAAUGGGAGCGGGUGGGGUUUGCUCGGGUUUCUUUACCUCGAGUUUACACUGGAUUUCUUUACCGCCUUCACUCCUGCACCGGGGGCGCCCACACAAUCGACGUGUGUCACCUGAACAGGUUCCUCUUGGGGCCCGAUCCUGCAUUCUACAGGGAUCGGGCCCUACAGCCAAAACUCCCAGGGAAGGAGAGAAAGUUGUUCUUGGUUUUUAAGGCAGAAACGAAGGUGAAGAUGUAAAAUCGCUGCUGAGAUAUUUUUUUUAAAAAAAAAUCUUCCUCAAUAGUUUAAGUUUAUAGGGGGAAAAAAGCAAUUUCUCCUUUGGUAACUGA